rnacentral:rRNA from 1 species
GAUUCCGCCCUAGUUCUGACCGUAAACGAUGCCAACUAGCGAUCCGCCGAUGGAAACACAAAUUGCCAUGGUGGGGAGCUUCCCGGAAACGAAAGUCUUCCGGUUCCGGGGGAAGUAUGGUUGCAAAGCUGAAACUUAAAGGAAUUGACGGAAGGGCACCACCAGGAGUGGAGCCUGCGGCUUAAUUUGACUCAACACGGGGAAACUCACCCGGCCCGGACACCGUAAGGAUUGACAGAUUGACAGCUUUUUCAUGAUUCGGUGGAUGGUGGUGCAUGGCCGUUCUUAGUUCGUGGAGCGAUCUGUCUGGUUUAUUCCGAUAACGAGCGAGACUCUGGCCUACUAACUAGUCCGCGCAUUGCCUCUGUGCCGUUGGACUUCUUAGAGGGAUUCGCGGUGUUCAGCCGCAAGAAAUGGAGCAAUAACAGGUCUGUGAUGCCCUUAGAUGUCCGGGGCUGCACGCGCGCUACACUGGCAGAAUCAGCUGGCUUGUCCUGCCCCGAAAGGGGCGGGUAAACCCGUGAAAAUCUGCCGUGAUUGGGAUCGGAAAUUGCAAUUAUUUUCCGUGAACGAGGAAUUCCAAGUAAGUGCGUGUCAUCAACACGCGUUGAUUACGUCCC